rnacentral:rRNA from 1 species
GAACGAACGCUGGCGGCGUGCCUAACACAUGCAAGUCGAGCGAGAAAAGGGGGGCAACUCCCUGAGUACAGCGGCGCACGGGUGAGUAACACGUAGGUAAUCUCCCCUCGAGCCCGGAAUAACCUACCGAAAGGUGGGCUAAUACCGGAUAUGACCACGGAAGUUUCGGCUUCUGCGGUGAAAGAUGGCCUCUAUUUAUAAGCUAUCACUCAAGGAUGAGCCUGCGUGCCAUUAGCUAGUUGGUGGGGUAAUGGCCCACCAAGGCUAUGAUGGCUAGCUGGUCUGAGAGGAUGGCCAGCCACACUGGGACUGAAACACGGCCCAGACUCCUACGGGAGGCAGCAGUGGGGGAUAUUGCGCAAUGGGCGAAAGCCUGACGCAGCGACGCCGCGUGGGUGAUGAAGGCCUUCGGGUCGUAAAGCCCUGUCGAGGGGGACGAAUCGGUUGCGACCUAACACGUCGUGAUCUUGACGGUACCCCUAAAGGAAGCACCGGCUAACUCCGUGCCAGCAGCCGCGGUAAUACGGAGGGUGCUAGCGUUGUUCGGAAUCACUGGGCGUAAAGCGCGUGUAGGCGGUCCGUUAAGUCUGAUGUGAAAGCCCGGGGCUCACCCCCGGAAGUGCAUUGGAAACUGACGAACUCGAGUCCCGGAGAGGAGGGUGGAAUUCCUGGUGUAGCGGUGAAAUGCGUAGAUAUCAGGAGGAACACCGGUGGCGAAGGCGGCCCUCUGGACGGUGACUGACGCUGAGACGCGAAAGCGUGGGGAGCAAACAGGAUUAGAUACCCUGGUAGUCCACGCCGUAAACGAUGAGCACUAGGUGUCGCGGGUAUUGACCCCUGCGGUGCCGACGCUAACGCAUUAAGUGCUCCGCCUGGGGAAUACGGCCCGCAGGUUAAACUCAAA